rnacentral:lncRNA from 1 species
AGCAGCGUGACCUGCAGACACCUGGGCCAGGCUGCUGGCAGCUGGGCGAAAAAACAUGUCUCGAAAUGCAGGAGUGGAAAUGUCAGAGUGUGAAUCAUGGGACAGCAUGUCAGCCAUGCUGAAGUGGAGAGCAAGAAGAGCAAACGAGACAAGGCAGCAAAUACUGCAACAUGAGCAGAUGGGUUUCCACUGAAACAAGUGUUUGCCUGACAGCAGCAGAGGUUUUCAUAGGAAUGUUCACUUUCCUUGCUGAGAUUCCUAACAAAGUACAAAAAGAAGAGAAGAUCAGCAUCAUCAGGAAGGCAGACUUCAUCAUGACAAGUAACUGUGUUUUGA